AAUACCUUUAAUGGUUUGCCAAAUUUACAGAAACUAUAUCUAAACGGAAACAUAAUCACUACGAUACCGCACAAUGCCUUCGCCAGCUUACACAAUUUAAAUCUCCUAUUGUUAGAUUCCAACAAGAUAAGCAUAAUUCAGAGCAAUGCCUUUCAUGGUUUAACAAAUUUGCAGGAA